rnacentral:rRNA from 1 species
UCGGGCUGAUACACAUGCAGUCGAGGGGUAGGGGGUGCUUGCACCCCUGAGACCGGCGCACGGGUGCGGAACGCGUAUGGAACCUGCCCCUGUCAGGGGAAUAGCCCAGGGAAACUUGGAUUAAUGCCCCAUGGUAUCAUUACAUCGCAUGAUGUUGUGAUUAAAGAUUUAUCGGACAGGGAUGGCCAUGCGUACCAUUAGCUUGAUGGUGGGGUAACGGCCCACCAUGGCAACGAUGGUUAGGGGCCCUGAGAGGGGGAUCCCCCACACUGGUACUGAGACACGGACCAGACUCCUACGGGAGGCAGCAGUGAGGAAUAUUGGACAAUGGUCGGAAGACUGAUCCAGCCAUGCCGCGUGCAGGAUGACGGCCCUAUGGGUUGUAAACUGCUUUUAUACGGGAAGAAACCCACCUACGUGUAGGUGGCUGACGGUACCGUAAGAAUAAGGACCGGCUAACUCCGUGCCAGCAGCCGCGGUAAUACGGAGGGUCCGAGCGUUAUCCGGAAUCAUUGGGUUUAAAGGGUCCGUAGGCGGGCCUGUAAGUCAGGGGUGAAAGUUUGUGGCUCAACCAUAAAAUUGCCUUUGAUACUGCAGGUCUUGAGUCAUGGUGGGGUUGCCGGAACAUGUGGUGUAGCGGUGAAAUGCAUAGAUAUCACAUAGAACACCGAUCGCGAAGGCAGGUGACCAACCAUGUACUGACGCUGAUG